AGUGAACGCUGGCGGUAGGCCUAACACAUGCAAGUCGAACGGCAGCACAGUAAGAGCUUGCUCUUACGGGUGGCGCGUGGCGGACGGGUGAGGAAUACAUCGGAAUCUACUUUUUCGUGGGGGAUAACGUAGGGAAACUUACGCUAAUACCGCAUACGACCUACGGGUGAAAGCAGGGGAUCUUCGGACCUUGCGCGAUUGAAUGAGCCGAUGUCGGAUUAGUUAGUUGGCGGGGUAAAGGCCCACCAAGGCGACUAUCCGUAGCUGGUCUGAGAGGAUGAUCAGCCACACUGGAACUGAGACACGGUCCAGACUCCUACGGGAGGCAGCAGUGGGGAAUAUUGGGCAAUGGGCGCAAGCCUGAUCCAGCCAUACCGCGUGAGUGAAGAAGGCCUUCGGGUUGUAAAGCCCUUUUGUUGGGAAAGAAAAGCAGCAGGUUAAUACCCCGCUGUUCUGACGGUACCCAAAGAAUAAGCACCGGCUAACUUCGUG
rnacentral:rRNA from 1 species